rnacentral:rRNA from 1 species
GACGAACGCUGGCGGCGUGCUUAACACAUGCGAGUCGAACGGACAGGCCCUGCUCUUGCGGGGUGCUCGAGUGGCGAACGGGUGAGUAACACGUGAGUAACCCGUCCUUGUCUUUGGGAUAACUUCAGGAAACUGGGGCUAAUAUCGGAUAGGAGCUCUUGCUGCAUGGUGGGGGUUGGAAAGUUUCGGCGGUUGGGGAUGGACUCGCGGCUUACCAGCUUGUUUGUGGGGUAGUGGCUUACCAAGGCUUCGACGGGUAGGCGGCCUGGGAGGGUGACCGGCCACAAUGGGACUGAGAUACGGAGCAGACUCCUACGGGAGGCAGCAGUGGGGAAUAUUGCACAAUGGGCGGAAGCGUGAUGCAGCAGCGCCGGGUGCGGGAUGACGGCCUUCGGGUUGUAAACCGCUUUCGCCUGUGACGAAGCGUGAGUGACGGUAAUGGGUAAAGAAGCACCGGCUAACUACGUG